GCUGGAAUGACUCGGAAGUUUCUUUAAUGUGCAUAAUCCUGAUAUAAAAAUCAAUCCCAAACACAAUCACACAUGUAGACAGAAACUGGUAUUUAGCAUUUGAAAAGUAUGAUGAUUAUGAAUAUGAUUUAUUUCCAUCUUUUAAGUAUUCCAAAUACUUUUCCUGUAACUUAAAAAGAGACUAGUUGAUUGGUAUGUGAUGUUUAAUAUAGAUCCUCCCAUACUACAGCUUUUGUCAUUACAUCACAUUCUAGAUUUACCCAACACGCACACUAUCACCUGAUUUUCAUUAGGAUUAAUAGGUCUGUCACUUGUCUUCUGUCGGUAAGAUACUGUAGGAGUUCAGUACAUUUCCACCAGGAUUAACAGGUCUGUCGGUAAGUUACUGUAGGAGUUCAGUACAUUUCCACCAGGAUUAACAGGUCUGUCGGUAAGUUACUGUAGGAGUUCAGUACAUUUCCACCAGGAUUAACAGGACUGUCACUUGUCUUCUGUCGGUAAGUUACUGUAGGAGUUCAGUACAUUUCCAUCAGGAUUAACAGGACUGUCGGUAAGUUACUGUAGGAGUUCAGUACAUUUCCACCAGGAUUAACAGGACUGUCGGUAAGAUACUGUAGGAGUCCAGUACAUUUCCACCAGGAUUAACAGGACUGUCAGUAAGUUACUGUAGGAUUUCAGUACAUUUCCACCAGGAUUAACAGGACUGUCGGUAAGUUACUGUAGGAGUUCAGUACAUUUCCACCAGGAUUAACAGGACUGUCGGUAAGUUACUGUAGGAGUUCAGUACAUUUCCAUCAGGAUUAACAGGACUGUCGGUAAGUUACUGUAGGAGUUCAGUACAUUUCCACCAGGAUUAACAGGACUGUCGGUAAGUUACUGUAGGAGUUCAGUACAUUUCCACCAGGAUUAACAGGUCUGUCGGUAAGUUACUGUAGGAGUUCAGUACAUUUCCAUCAGGAUUAACAGGUCUGUGGGUAAGUUACUGUAGGAGUUCAGUACAUUUCCAUCAGGAUUAACAGGACUGUCAGUAAGUUACUAUAGGAGUUCAGUACAUUUCCACCAGGAUUAACAGGACUGUUGGUAAGUUACUGUAGGAGUUCAGUACAUUUCCACCAGGAUUAACAGGACUGUCGGUAAGUUACUGUAGGAGUUCAGUACAUUUCCAUCAGGAUUAACAGGACUGUCGGUAAGUUACUGUAGGAGUUCAGUACAUUUCCACCAGGAUUAACAGGACUGUCAGUAAGUUACUAUAGGAGUUCAGUACAUUUCCACCAGGAUUAACAGGACUGUCGGUAAGUUACUGUAGGAGUUCAGUACAUUUCCACCAGGAUUAACAGGACUGUCGGUAAGUUACUAUAGGAGUUCAGUACAUUUCCACCAGGAUUAACAGGACUGUCGGUAAGUUACUGUAGGAGUUCAGUACAUUUCCACCAGGAUUAACAGGACUGUUGGUAAGUUACUGUAGGUGUUCAGUACAUUUCCACCAGGAUUAACAGGACUGUCGGUAAGUUACUGUAGGAGUUCAGUACAUUUCCACCAGGAUUAACAGGACUGUCGGUAAGUUACUGUAGGAGUUCAGUACAUUUCCAUCAGGAUUAACAGGACUGUCGGUAAGUUACUGUAGGAGUUCAGUACAUUUCCACCAGGAUUAACAGGACUGUCGGUAAGUUACUGUAGGAUUUCAGUACAUUUCCACCAGGAUUAACAGGACUGUCACUUGUCUUCUGUCAGUAAGUUACUGUAGGAGUUCAGUACAUUUCCAUCAGGAUUAACAGGACUGUCACUUGUCUUCUGUCAGUAAGUUACUGUAGGAGUUCAGUACAUUUCCACCAGGAUUAACA